AGCGAACGCUGGCGGCAGGCCUAACACAUGCAAGUCGAGCGCCCCGCAAGGGGAGCGGCAGACGGGAGAGUAACACGUGGGAACGUGCCCUUCAGUUCGGAACAACCCAGGGAAACUUGGGCUAAUACCGGAUACGUCCGAAAGGAGAAAGAUUUAUCGCUGAAGGAGCGGCCCGCGUCUGAUUAGCUAGUUGGUGAGGUAACGGCUCACCAAGGCGACGAUCAGUAGCUGGUCUGAGAGGAUGAUCAGCCUCACUGGGACUGAGACACGGCCCAGACUCCUACGGGAGGCAGCAGUGGGGAAUAUUGGACAAUGGGCGCAAGCCUGAUCCAGCCAUGCCGCGUGGGUGAUGAAGGCCCUAGGGUUGUAAAGCCCUUUCGGCGGGGAAGAUAAUGACGGUACCCGCAGAAGAAGCCCCGGCUAACUUCGUGCCAGCAGCCGCAGUAAAAC
rnacentral:rRNA from 1 species